ACCGGGAAGCCCUUAACCCUCUCCCUCCAACGCUAGAGCAUCUUUCACAAACACGGACUAUACACGCAUGUAUAGAUAGAUAGAAAAAUAUCACUUCUUCUCCUUUGUUACCCCCAAAGGUUAGGGUUUUACCGUGCUCUGUGUUCAAACCCUCUCCGUCCCUUGGCUCUACCUAUAACCUAUCUGCUCAUAAUCGCAAGAAAGAAGUGAGAGAAUCUGCAGCGAUGGCGAGGUACAGAAGCCGGAGCAGAAGCUACAGCCCUCGCCGGCGGAGCAGAACCCCUCCACGUGGACGCAAGCGAUACGACGACGAGCCUCGCGAUCGCUACCGCGAAAGCAGGUCCUACAGAGACCGUCGCUCCCCUGCUUCUUCUGGCCUGCUCGUCCGCAAUCUCCCCCUUGACGCUAGGCAAGAAGAUCUGAGGAUCCCAUUUGAGCGAUUUGGUCCCGUGAAGGAUGUGUAUCUACCAAAGAACUAUCAUACUGGGGAGCCGCGGGGCUUUGGAUUUGUGAAAUACCGAUAUGCUGAAGAUGCUGCUGAAGCCAAACAACAACUGAACCAUACAGUUAUUGGUGGACGUGAAAUAAGAAUCGUGUUUGCUGAGGAGAAUAGAAAAACGCCUCAAGAAAUGCGUACGAGUUCCCGCGUAAGUGGUCGAUAUGGAAGCAGAAGGAGAACUCCACCAAGGUCCCCUAGACGACGUUACCACUCUUACUCAAGGUCACCUACACCAGCUAGGCGCGACUCAAGGGACCAUGGGGCUAGGGAUGAUUAUCGUUCUCCUUCUCCACUUGAUGAGGGGGACUACAGGAGGUCCCCGAGUCCAAGGGAAAAUGGUCAGAGUCCCCAUGCUGCCAGGGGUUAUGCACCGAGCAGGUCACUGAGUCCAAGGGGUAAAACUCGCAGUCCUUCAAGAUCUCGGUCACGAUCUUACAGUCCUCGCUGAUGGUUGUCAUAUGCUGCUGCUCAUGUGGUGCUCUUCACUGGUUCCAAGCAUAUUUUAAGCAUGACUUUGGCUAGUUGUAUUCUGGAUGGGUACAAUGUUGUCGAUAAUGGCAAACGGCGCAGACCAGUUGAUGUGGCAGCCUUCUUCAUUCACGAUGCUUCCCUCAGUUUUAUCCUCAGACUAGUUUUCUCCUUAGCAGCCCGAAGCUCUUCUCGGUUGUCUCUUAGCCCGUAACCCUCUUUCACGCAGCGGCGCUGGAACACUGGACCGAAUUCCACUGUUACUCAACAAGUAAGUUGCUUUACCAAACUAGCAGUGAGAGGAAAGAAAAUGUGGGGAAAAAUUAAAAAAAAAAACCCUUCAUGAUACCUUUACAGAAUCCUUAAUAGAGCCCCUUCCUGAUCGAUAAUUAGCAAAUAAUUACUAUAUUUCAUAAAUAUGUAUAUAUAUUGCUAUCCCUCCGAUCAUUCGAACCAUACUCUAAAACAAGUCUUGGAACCACCAAGAUUAAAAUUUAUUGUCUUAUUUGCAAAUACACC